GACGAACGCUGGCGGCGUGCCUAAUACAUGCAAGUAGGACGCAGUUGCGAACGGGUGAGUACCGCGUAGGUAACUACCUAUUAGAGGGGGAUAACUCUUGGAAACGAUAGCUAAAACCGCAUACUAGUAGAUGGAUCUGCGUUGUAUUAGCUAGUAGGUUGGGUAAUGGGCUACCUAGGCAACGAUACAUAGGCGACCGUGAGAGGUUGUCGGGCACAACUGGGCUGAGACACGGGCCAGACUCCUUCGGGAGGCAACAGUAGGGAAUCUUCGGGAAUGGGGCGAACGCUGGCCGAACCAAGGCGCGGGGGGGAAGAAGGGUUUCGGGACGUAAAACUCUGUUGUUAAGGAAGCGGUACUUAACCAGAAAGGAACGGCUAACUACGUGCCAGCCGCCGCGGUAAUUC
rnacentral:rRNA from 1 species